rnacentral:lncRNA from 1 species
UAUGGUUCUUGAAAGAUCGUAAAAUGGCGUUUCCAGUCGUUUCCGUGCAUUUACGCAUGAACUGUUCUACUAAAGCUUCCCAAAUUUUAAUAUGUUGUUACUGAUGACAAAAUGGAGGUCAAGUUCAAUAAUGACGAUUUUGACAGCCUCUUGUUUAUAUAUAUAGUGGGGAAAAAAGAUUUAAAAGGACUAGUAAAAAGUUUAUAGCUGUCAAAUAAAGGCAAAAGAUACAUCAUUUCAUAUAGAUGAAAGAUAAGUGUUGGAAUCAUACCAUUAAACAGGUGUAUGAUUGUAAAUGGAAUAUGUAGUUGAAGAAAUGUUCAAUGUAUUUACUCAUUUGAAUAUAUAUUUGCUUGCAGUUUUGCAUGAUAUUCUGCAAAUCUCCAAUUCCAAUUUUGUUUGGUAUGGUAUAAUUUUAAAGGUGUGAUAUAUUUGAUAUAAAAAAAAUCCUUGAUAUUAUCAUAACAAUCUAGGCCUUUUUUGUAUAUGUUGUUCAAUUUAUUCUGUUUCUAGAUUUCUUUUUUAUUCAGAAAUAUUUUACAUUUUUGUGAGUUUAAAUAUGAAUGUUUUACAUGGAUUAAGACUGUGCUGGUAUGUACAUACAUAUCAUUGUAGCAUUCACCAGUGUUUGUUAUUGGUCUUUUU